CAAAAUGAAUGCUUGUAUUAUGGUCUUCGCUUGCUUGAUCGGACUCAGUUUACCUCAAGACCCUGAUGAUUUCUGGAAGGCGAAGGCGAAAUGUACGCGGAUUACAGGGGUGGAUCAAACGUUUAUGGAGAAGCUGUCAAUGAAACAAGCGUUUAAGUGCCCGAAAGUGCACCAGUUCACUGAAUGUGUUUUGAAAGAGAUUGGUGGUUUGAGCGAAGACGGCACACUCGACUUUGACACAUGUCAAGAGAAUUGUGACGACUCGGGUAAGAUAGAGUGUUCAUUCAUUGAGGGAUGUGGAAAGAGAAGGGAAGAUACAAACCAAAACACAUACGUUAGCAUCUAUUGGUGUUUGAAUCAGUGUUUCUAUCUGUAUGUUAAAAGAGCUGCAAGAAGCUAACAAAUCAAAGAAACACCACAAUGGGCGCACGAGGACACCUGCUUUUUUCGAACAGAAUGUAACAUAUAUAAUUAUUAUCAAUGCGAGUGGGCAUUUUUGCAUAAAACUUUGUAAUAAGAAGUGCGCUGGAACUUUUUAAUAAAAAUGGUAAAUCGCGAA